rnacentral:rRNA from 1 species
CAGUCAUACCAACGGGAAAUCAACCUUUUGAGCUCGGUCUCGUGGGUUUUGAAGAGUUUCAAAGCCUUCGGAUUCGCGGGAUUGGGACCUCUUGGUGUACUUUUUCGACCGGUUAGUCAACAUCGGUUUUGAAUGUCAUAAAAUGACUGGAGGAAUGUAGCUUCGAUCUCGUAUUGAAGUGUUAUAGCCUUUGGUAGAUGUGAUGUUUGAGACCGAGGAUUGCAACGGAUACCCUUCAGGGCUAUUCGUCUGAUCUCUGAUACGUUGCCCUGAUGUUGAAAGCUUGCUUAUGAUGUUAGGGUAUUACGGUCAAAAGGUUAGAACGAAUUACA